GGCAGUGGUACUGCAAUCAGGCUUCCCCCACAGGAGCACAGCUUGAUAUUUGGUCUGGGACUGCGUAAGCACACCGCAGCCAUCAGGGAGAGGUGUGGAGAUAAUGCCUUCCCCACAGAGCCCUGUCUUCCUCAGCAGGAGUGUGACCCUCUGUGGCUUUCACAAUUAUGCUGUCUGGUUGCGAGUCACCAGAGGAGCAGGAAGGAAACAGAAGAGAGGAUGCCCUUUGUUUCUCAAAGAACUGUGCCUCAGAAGCUGACUGCAGACUGUAUAAGGGGCUCUUCAAAUGGAACCAGGAAAUGCUUGUGGAAGUUCAGAAAGCUGCUAAAAUGAGGGACCUGUGGAAUUUCCAUCUGGAGACAGUCAUUUAUCAACAGGUGAAGCAGAAGGGAGCAAACAUGCUAAAAAAGCUGGUCAUGGUAAAUAAAACAUACAUAAAAAGAAAAAGGAAGCAAAGGCUCAG
ensembl:lncRNA